rnacentral:rRNA from 1 species
CGUACACUCCUACGGGAGGCAGCAGUGGGGAAUAUUGGACAAUGGGCGCAAGCCUGAUCCAGCCAUGCCGCGUGAGUGAUGAAGGCCCUAGGGUUAUAAAGCUCUUUCACCGGUGAAGAUAAUGACGGUAACCGGAGAAGAAGCCCCGGCUAACUUCGUGCCAGCAGCCGCGGUAAUACGAAGGGGGCUAGCGUUGUUCGGAUUUACUGGGCGUAAAGCGCACGUAGGCGGACUAUUAAGUCAGGGGUGAAAUCCCGGGGCUCAACCCCGGAACUGCCUUUGAUACUGGUAGUCUUGAGUUCGAGAGAGGUGAGUGGAAUUCCGAGUGUAGAGGUGAAAUUCGUAGAUAUUCGGAGGAACACCAGUGGCGAAGGCGGCUCACUGGCUCGAUACUGACGCUGAGGUGCGAAAGCGUGGGGAGCAAACAGGAUUAGAAACCCCGGUAGUCCC